AGUUUGCCAAACUUUUGGAAGAUUUCCGAAGUUUUGUGAUGAAGCUUAUGCAGUCAGCUAGUGGCUGUAACCAUGGCACAUUUGAGUGGGUUGACAGCAUGUUAGUUCAGGCUCUGAAAUCUGGGGACUGGCUUCUGAUGGACAAUGUUAACUUCUGCAAGUAAGAAUCUUACGUCCAAUCAUCAUGAGAGGGCCUGUUGGAAACUUGAGAUAUGCUUGGCAAAGUAGAAACCAAAAUGAAGACUCUCUUAAGUUUUUGAUCUAUUGUUUUUCUUUACUAGCAAUGUAGCUUCACCCAUGUUUUAUAAACUUCACUCACUCACUCUCUGAUAAACAGUGGUAGUUGGUCAUUCUAAAGUAUAAAGUUGAUAGAGCCGGGCUAGUGGCACAUGCCUAUAAUCCCAGCACUUGGGAGGCUGAAGCAGGGGAAUCGCCACAAGUUUGAGGCCAGCCCAAGCUACUUAGUGAGACUCUAUCUCAAAAAACAACAACAACAACAACAAAAACAAAAACAAAAAAACUAAAGUGUAUAGUUGACAUAAUAGAAGCCACUACAGGUUGAAUGGCAGCUUCUUCUUCCUGGAGGUUUUUUUUUUUUUAAAGUCUAGCUCUUUUUCAGUGCAUUUGAUACUGUUGAGGAUAAGAGGGGAAAAAGGGUUAUACAGAGCAGGAAACGUUCUGUCAGUUUUCUUAAUUUCAUUUUGUGUGUAAAGCUGUGGGCUAUGUGCCUUAAGAAAUGAAAAAGGGAAUCUCUGGGCAGUCUUCUCUUGAAAGAGAUUAGUGCUUUGUCUGUAUGGGAAGUAAUCCCUGCAGAAAGGAAGAUAUGGACUGGAAAUGGCUGGAGGCUGUUGCAACUAGAGUCAGAUGUCUCCUGGGCAGUCAUUUGAGUUUUCUCUGUAUAGCCCAUCAGUGCUGGAUCGUUUGAAUGCUUUGCUUGAACCUGGAGGCGUCCUCACUGUUAAUGAGAGAGGAAUGAUAGAUGGAUCCACUAUGACCAUAACACCUCAUCCUAAUUUCAGGCUUUUUCUCUCAAUGGAUCCUGUUCAUGGAGAAAUAUCCCGUGCAAUGAGGAAUCGUGGACUUGAAAUCUACAUUUCAGGAGAAGAGAAUGAGACAAAUCCAGAUAACCUGGAUUUGAAAGUUCUGCUGCACAGCCUUGGGUUGGUGGGAGACAGUGUGUGUGACAUCCUCCUGGCUCUACACAGCGAGACCCGAAGCUCUAUUAUAGGUUCUUCAACAUCUUCUGUGUCUGCUCUAAUUCAGACAGCCACACUAAUUGUCCAGUAUCUACAACGAGGGCUGGGUUUAGACAAAGCCUUUUCAGAAGCAUGCUGGGAAGUGUAUGUCCACUCUCAGCAUUCAGCAGCAAACCAGAAGCUUGUGCAGGCCUUGCUGGAGAAACAUGCUUCUUUUUUGCAAGCACGGGAAAACUGGGGAAACUCCAUUCUUGCCCCAGGGCUGUGGCCUGAUUCUGUGCCUUCUGCUCUCUUUGCUACGGAAGAUUCUCACCUCUCUGUUGUUCGAAGUGAUGGGCAGAUUCUGGCAUACUGCCUCAGCAGGAAAAGCAUGAAAACCAGCAGCUGGGCCAGGAGUCAGCCUCUUACUUUGCAAGACUUAGAGAAAAUUAUGCAGUCUUCCAACCCCGAGAACCUAAAAUUCAAUGCAGUACAAAUGGAUGCUUAUUGGAUUGAUGAACCAGAGGUUUUGCCCAUGGCUGUUAAAUUGCUCAUAGAAAGAGCAACCAAUCAGGAUUGGAUGCUCAGAGUUAAAUGGCUUUAUCAUUUAGCCAGGAACAUACCACAGGGGCUUGGUGAGUAGAAAAACGUAAUUUGUACAGUGAGGUGAUUUAUAAAUACUUAUCCUGUUUAAGUGCUUCAGCAGCUGUGUUAUUCUGUGACUGAACUGUUAAAAUUAUAGCUGAGAGAUCUCUUAGCAAGAGAUUUAUAGGAUAGCAUUAGUUUGAAUACCUGUUAAAUUAAGGAGCAAGUCUGUCCUUAGAUGUAUCACAACAGAAACUUUUGUUCCAGGG
rnacentral:lncRNA from 1 species